AGAGCGAACGCUGGCGGCAGGCCUAACACAUGCAAGUCGAACGGACCCUUCGGGGUUAGUGGCGGACGGGUGAGUAACACGUGGGAACGUGCCUUUAGGUUCGGAAUAGCUCCUGGAAACGGGUGGUAAUGCCGAAUGUGCCCUUCGGGGGAAAGAUUUAUCGCCUUUAGAGCGGCCCGCGUCUGAUUAGCUUGUUGGUGAGGUAAUGGCUCACCAAGGCUACGAUCAGUAGCUGGUCUGAGAGGAUGACCAGCCACAUUGGGACUGAGACACGGCCCAAACUCCUACGGGAGCAGCAGGUGGGAAUCUGCGCAAGUGGACAAAGCCUGACGCAGCCA
rnacentral:rRNA from 1 species